rnacentral:rRNA from 1 species
GGGUUGUGAGGUUAAGCGAAUAAGCGUACACGGUGGAUGCCUAGGCAAUCAGAGGCGAUGAAGGACGUGCUAAUCUGCGAAAAGCGUCGGUAAGGUGAUAUGAACCGUUAUACCCGACGAUAUCCGAAUGGGGAAACCCAGUAUCCAAUGGAUACUAUCAUUAACUGAAUCCAUAGGUUAAUGAGGCGAACCGGGAGAACUGAAACAUCUCAGUACCCCGAGGAAAAGAAAUCAACCGAGAUUCCCCUAGUAGCGGCGAGCGAACGGGGAGCAGCCCAGAGU